AUACGGAGGUGGCAAGCGUUGUUCGGAAUUACUGGGCUUAAAGAGCAUGUAGGCGGGAUGUCAAGUGUCGGGUGAAAACCCCAGGCUCAACCUGGGAACUGCCCGGCAAACUGGCAUUCUUGAGGCAGGUAGCGGUGACCGGAACAACUGGUGGAGCGGUGAAGUGCGUAGAUAUCAGUUGGAACGCCGGCGGCGAAAGCGGGUCACUGGACCUGUCCUGACGCUGAGAUGCGAAAGCGUGGGUAGCGAACGGGAUUAGAAACCCCGGUAGUCC
rnacentral:rRNA from 1 species